AUUGAACGCUGGCGGCAGGCCUAACACAUGCAAGUCGAGCGGUAGAGAGAAGCUUGCUUCUCUUGAGAGCGGCGGACGGGUGAGUAAUGCCUAGGAAUCUGCCUGGUAGUGGGGGAUAACGUUCGGAAACGAACGCUAAUACCGCAUACGUCCUACGGGAGAAAGCAGGGGACCUUCGGGCCUUGCGCUAUCAGAUGAGCCUAGGUCGGAUUAGCUAGUUGGUGAGGUAAUGGCUCACCAAGGCGACGAUCCGUAACUGGUCUGAGAGGAUGAUCAGUCACACUGGAACUGAGACACGGUCCAGACUCCUACGGGAGGCAGCAGUGGGGAAUAUUGGACAAUGGGCGAAAGCCUGAUCCAGCCAUGCCGCGUGUGUGAAGAAGGUCUUCGGAUUGUAAAGCACUUUAAGUUGGGAGGAAGGGCAGUUACCUAAUACGUAUCUGUUUUGACGUUACCGACAGAAUAAGCACCGGCUAACUCUGUG
rnacentral:rRNA from 1 species